AUGGACUCCAGACUCCUCUGCUGUUUGGCCCUUUGUCUCCUGGGAACAGGCUCUAUUGAUAUCAAAGUCAUCCAGACUCCGGCAUACUUGGUUAAGAACCAAGGGCAGAGGGCAAAGAUGACUUGUACUCCGCACAAAGGACAUGCUUUUGUUUACUGGUAUCAACAGAUCCAGGAUAAAGAAUUUAGGUUCUUGGUUUACCUUCAGAAUCAAGAAAUUGUUGACCAAAUUGAUGUGGACAAGAAGUGGUUCUCUGCUGAAUGCCCCUCGUCCUCACCCUGUAGCCUGGAAAUCAAGUCUUCUGAACCAGAAAACUCGGCACUCUAUUUCUGUGCCAGCAGCCCGAUUCUGGUGUGUAACUAUGACUACACCUUCGGCUCGGGGACCAAGCUGACGGUCCUAGAGGAUCUGGAAGAUGUGGAACCACCCCGGGUGGCUGUGUUUGAACCCUCUGACGCCGAGAUCGCUGAGACCCAGAAGGCCACACUCGUGUGCCUGGCCACGGGCUUCUACCCCGACCACGUGGAGCUGAGCUGGUGGGUGAACGGCAAGGAGGUGCAGAGCGGGGUCAGCACGGACCCCCAGCCCUACAAGGAGUAUCCUCACAAUAAUAAAUCCACCUACUGUCUGAGCAGCCGGCUGAGGGUCUCUGCCGCCUACUGGCACGACCCUCGCAACCACUUCCGCUGCCAAGUCCACUUCUAUGGGCUCGGCGAGGAGGAUGAGUGGGACUCUGAAAAGCCCAAACCUGUCACCCAGAACGUCAGUGCUGAAGCCUGGGGCCGAGCAGACUGUGGCCUCACCUCGAUGUCGUAUCAGCAGGGGGUCCUGUCUGCCACCCUCCUCUACGAGAUCCUGCUGGGCAAGGCCACGCUGUACGCUGUGCUGGUCAGCGCCCUGGUGCUCAUGGCCAUGGCCAAGAGAAAGAAUUCCUGAAGCUGACUCGAAGAUGGAGUCAAGAGUCGCCAACCUGGAGUGGUCCUAAAUGGCCUGUGUGUUUCUAUCCCCCGCUGGUGAUCCUGCAGAACCAGUGGCUUCCUG